rnacentral:rRNA from 1 species
AUUGAACGCUGGCGGCGUGCCUAACACAUGCAAGUCGAGCGGUAACAGGUGUAGCAAUACAUGCUGACGAGCGGCGGACGGGUGAGUAACGCUUGGGAAUCUGCCUAUUAGUGGGGGACAACCCGGGGAACUCGGGCUAAUACCGCAUACGCUCUACGGAGGAAAGCCGGGGACCGCAAGGCCUGGCGCUAAUAGAUGAGCCCAAGUCGGAUUAGCUAGUUGGUAGGUAAUGGCCUACCAAGGCGACGAUCCGUAACUGGUCCUGAGAGGACGACCAGUCACACCGGAACUGAGACACGGUCCGGACUCCUACGGGAGGCAGCAGUGGGGAAUAUUGGACAAUGGGGGCAACCCUGAUCCAGCCAUGCCGCGUGCGGGAA